rnacentral:rRNA from 1 species
ACCCAUCGCCAGAAAUAAUAACAAACAAUAAUUAUGGUAAAAUAUACACUAUUUAUUUGUUAAACAACCUACUAUAUUCAAAAAAUUAAACUAUAAAAAAGGAUUAGAUACCCUUCUAUAUUUAAUCUUAAAAAAAGCAAAGUUACUAAAUGUUAUGAUCACCAAAUCUAAAGGAUUUGGCGGUAUUUUAUUUAAUUCAAGGAACCUGCUUCAUAAACGUCACUACACGAUACACCCUACCUAAAUCAUAUUUGUAUACCGCCGGCUUCAAUAAACAAUAAUAAUACAUAUUAUGAUAGCUACAUACUCAAAAUCCAGGUCAACGUGCAGUAUAUAUAGGACGAUAGUAGGUUACAUUGUGUACACACGCAAAUAACACAUGAAAAUGUAUUAAAAGAUGGAUUGAUAAGUAAAACCAUUUUAAUAUGGUGUUUUAAAUAUAUUUUAAAAUAUGUACACAUCGCCCGUCGGCUCUUA